AAUAAAAAUUAUCUACUUCAAAAAUAAAUAUAAGUUCAGAAAUAAAUAAAAACUAAACUAAUUUUAUAUUUUAUGUUUAAAUAAAAAUUAAGUUAUUUUUAGGAAUAAGAAAAAUAGCGUUUGAAUAGAUAAAAUAAAAUAAAAAAAAGUAGAUAAUUAUAAAUAGAAAAUAAUAAUAUUUUUUCUUAUAUUAUAUUUGAAUUUAAAAUUUUAAAUUUUUAAAUUUAAAUAUAUAAUUUUAAAGUUUUAAAAUUUAAAAUUUAAGUUUAAAUUUUAAAAUAUCUCAAAUUUUAAAAUUUAAACUUUUAAAUUUAAGGUUAAAUCUAAAUUUAAAAAUAUCAAAUAUCAAAUUUUAAAUUUAAAAAAUUUAAAAUAUUAAUUUAAAAUUUUAAAAUUUAGAAUUUAAAAUUAUAAAUUUUAAUUCUAAGAUCAUAAAUUAUAGAUUUUUAAAAUUCAAAAUUUAAAUUUAAAUUUUUUUAAAAAUUAAAUAAGGAUGAUAAUAUCUGUUCUCACCCCUGUACCCAC
rnacentral:lncRNA from 1 species